ACUACGGGAGGCAGCAGUGGGGAAUAUUGCACAAUGGGGGAAACCCUGAUGCAGCGACGCCGCGUGAGCGAUGAAGUAUUUCUGUAUGUAAAGCUCUAUUAGUAGGGAAGUAAAUGACGGUACCUGACUAAGAAGCCCCGGCUAACUCCGUUCCAGCAGCCGCGGUAAUACGUAGGGGGCAAGCGUUAUCCGGAUUUACUGGGUGUAAAGGGAGCGUAGACGGUCGUGCAAGCCAGAUGUGAAAGCCUGGGGCUCAACCCCGAGAUUGCAUUUGGAACUGUAAGGCUUGAGUAGCGGAGAGGCAGGCGGAAUUCGUGGUGUAGCGGUGAAAUGCGUAGAUAUUAGGAGGAACACCAGUGGCGAAGGCGGCCUGCUGGACGAUGACUGACGUUGAGGCUCGAAAGCGUGGGGAGCAAACAGGAUUAGAUACCCGGGUAGUC
rnacentral:rRNA from 1 species